rnacentral:rRNA from 1 species
GAUGAACGCUGGCGGCGUGCUUAACACAUGCAAGUCGAACGAGGUCCAACCUUCGGGUGAAGACCUAGUGGCGAACGGGUGAGUAACACGUGGGGAACCUGCCCUUCUCUCUGGGAUAACGUCGAGAAAUCGGUGCUAAUACCGGAUACUCCUUGCGGAUCGCAUGGUCUGCUCGGGAAAGCUCCGGCGGAGAAGGAUGGCCCCGCAGCCCAUUAGCUAGUUGGUGAGGUAAUGGCCCACCAAGGCGACGAUGGGUAGCCGAGCUGAGAGGCUGAUCGGCCACACUGGGACUGAGACACGGCCCAGGCUCCUACGGGAGGUAGCAGUGGGGAAUUUUGCACAAUGGGCGAAAGCCUGAUGCAGCAACGCCGCGUGCGGGAUGAAGGCCCUCGGGUCGUAAACCGCUUUCAGCAGGGAUGAAAUUGACAGUACCUGCAGAAGAAGCCCCGGCUAACUACGUGCCAGCAGCCGCCGUAACAC